UGAGUUCAUCGUCUUCUUCUAGUAUAGCAAGUGCCUCAUGUAAUGUACAAUCUCCAUUGAAACAAAAAAGCCAUUACAUAAGGAAUAACCAAAGAAAAGACAUAAAUUAGAUUUUUAGUAUACAUAAUAAAAAGACAACAUAAUGACCUAGCGGUGCCGUACGGCAUCCAUAUCUUUUAACAUGCCAUAAUCCAAACAAUAAAACAAAAUACGACAGUUUUAUGAUAUGAACAAGUCAAUGCGAGGUUUGGCAUCAAGUGUAAAUGCAUAAAAGUAUUACAUUACUCAAAAUAAAAAAAUUAUGAUCCCCUUACUUGAAUGUUGCAUCCAUUAUUGGCAGCAAUUUCACAUCACUGAUUUACAGAUGCUCGUGCAGGUCACAAAAAGCUUAUGGGACAAAACAAAGUAAAUGGAGUAAUGGCUAUGUCCCUCUAGCAUGGCAUUGACAACAAACCACUUGACUUCACCUCUUAUUACAAAGACAGGGCCCGACAAUUUAAACAUACGAAAUUGGGUGCCAUAUGGCACCGCUAGGCUAUAAUGGGUUAAUAGCCGAUAGAUCUGUCAAAC